rnacentral:misc_RNA from 1 species
GGACCCGUUCUUUGUGUCAAAACAUUCAAAACUGAAGAGCAAGCCAUUGAACUAGCAAACGACACCAAGUAUGGCUUGGGUGCUGCUGUUAUGUCAAAAGACGUUAAAAGGUGUGAGAGGUUUACAAAGGCAUUUCAGACAGGUAUCAUCUGGAUUAACUGUUCACAGCCAACCUUUAAUGAGCUACCAUGGGGUGGUAAAAAGCGUAGUGGUUUUGGACGUGAUCUAGGGGAAUGGGGUCUUGAAAAUUUCUUGAACAUUAAGCAGGUGACAGAGUAUACUUCUGCUGAACCAUUGGCUUUUUAUAAGUCACCUUCAAAGAAUUAGUAAAAGGGAGUUUGUCCACGAAGCAGUUUUAAUAAAUGUGCAAAACUAAACUCUAGUC